rnacentral:rRNA from 1 species
UACGUAGGGCGCGAGCGUUGUCCGGAAUCAUUGGGCGUAAAGAGCUCGUAGGCGGCCUGUCGCGUCUGCUGUGAAAUCCCGGGGCUCAACCCCGGGCGUGCAGUGGAUACGGGCUGGCUGGAGGCAGGCAGGGGAGAACGGAAUUCCGGUGUAGCGGUGAAAUGCGCAGAUAUCGGGAGGAACACCGGUGGCGAAGGCGGUUCUCUGGGCCUGUACUGACGCUGAGGAGCGAAAGCGUGGGGAGCAAACAGGG